CGGUGUGUGUAUACGUGUGAAUGUGAUUCACACAUGCAGCUCCUGUUAGCAAAGUGGUGACUUGUGUGUUGCCACUUGAAAUCAAAUGUUAUUUGUUACAUGCUUCGUAAGCAACAGGUGUAGACUAAUGGUGAAAUGCUUACUCACGGACCCUUCCCAACAACAGGUGUAGACUAAUGGUGAAAUGCUUACUCACGGACCCUUCCCAACAACAGGUGUAGACUAAUGGUGAAAUGCUUACUCACGGACCCUUCCCAACAACAGGUGUAGACUAAUGGUGAAAUGCUUACUCACGGACCCUUCCCAACAACAGGUGUAGACUAAUGGUGAAAUGCUUACUCACGGACCCUUCCCAACAACAGGUGUAGACUAAUGGUGAAAUGCUUACUCACGGACCCUUCCCAACAACAGGUGUAGACUAAUGGUGAAAUGCUUACUCACGGACCCUUCCCAACAACAGGUGUAGACUAAUGGUGAAAUGCUUACUCACGGACCCUUCCCAACAACAGGUGUAGACUAAUGGUGAAAUGCUUACUCACGGACCCUUCCCAACAACAGGUGUAGACUAAUGGUGAAAUGCUUACUCACGGACCCUUCCCAACAACAGGUGUAGACUAAUGGUGAAAUGCUUACUCACGGACCCUUCCCAACAACAGGUGUAGACUAAUGGUGAAAUGCUUACUCACGGACCCUUCCCAACAACAGGUGUAGACUAAUGGUGAAAUGCUUACUCACGGACCCUUCCCAACAACAGGUGUAGACUAAUGGUGAAAUGCUUACUCACGGACCCUUCCCAACAACAGGUGUAGACUAAUGGUGAAAUGCUUACUCACGGACCCUUCCCAACAACAGGUGUAGACUAAUGGUGAAAUGCUUACUCACGGACCCUUCCCAACAACAGGUGUAGACUAAUGGUGAAAUGCUUACUCACGGACCCUUCCCAACAACAGGUGUAGACUAAUGGUGAAAUGCUUACUCACGGACCCUUCCCAACAACAGGUGUAGACUAAUGGUGAAAUGCUUACUCACGGACCCUUCCCAACAACAGGUGUAGACUAAUGGUGAAAUGCUUACUCACGGACCCUUCCCAACAACAGGUGUAGACUAAUGGUGAAAUGCUUACUCACGGACCCUUCCCAACAACAGGUGUAGACUAAUGGUGAAAUGCUUACUCACGGACCCUUCCCAACAACCGGUGUAGACUAAUGGUGAAAUGCUUACUCACGGACCCUUCCCAACAACAGGUGUAGACUAAUGGUGAAAUGCUUACCCUUCCCAACAAUGCAGAGAUAGAAAUAAUAGAAAAGUAAAACAUGUAAUAAUAGAUACACAAUGAGUAAGGAUAACUUGGCAACAUACACAGGGUACCAGUACUGAGUCGAUGUGCAGGGUACGAGGUAGAUGUGUACAUUUGACUAGGAAUAAAGUGACAAAUAAUAAACGUAUGUGAUGAGGCAAAGUUUGUGCAAAAGGGUCAAUGCAAAUAGUCUCGGUAGCUAUUUGGUUAACUAUUUAACUCCCUAUUACUUUGUUGUGCUGUGGUU